rnacentral:SRP_RNA from 4 species
UGGUGGCUUCGCAAUUGUACUCUGUGAACCCCGCCAGGACCGGAAGGUAGCAACGGUAGCAGAUCUAUGAUGUGCCGAAGUUUUGCU